rnacentral:rRNA from 1 species
GAUGAACGCUGGCGGCGUGCUUAAUACAUGCAAGUCGAGCGAGCAGUCGAGGUGUUUGCUCCUCUGACGUUAGGGGCGGACGGGUGAGUAACACGUGGAUAACCUACCUAUUAGACUGGGCUAACUUCGGGAAACCGGAGCUAAUACCGGAUUAUAUAUUGAACCGCAUGGUUUAAUAGAGAAAGACGGCUUUGUUGUCACUUUUAGCUGGCUCCGCGCCGCAUUAGCUAGUUGGUAAGGUAACGGCCUACCAAGGCUACGAUGCGUAGCCGACCUGAGAGGGUGAGCAGCCACACUGGAACUGAGACACGGUCCAGAGUCCUACGGGAAGCACCAGUAGGGAAUCUUGCGCAAGGGGCGGAAGCCUGACGGAGCAACACCGCGAGUGUGAUGAAGGUCUUCGGAGCGUAAGACUCUGUUAUUAGGGAAGAACAAAUGUUUAAGUAACGAUGCACGUCUUGACGGUACCAAAACAGAAAGCCACGGCUAACUACGUG